AGUGAACGCUGGCGGUAGGCCUAACACAUGCAAGUCGAACGGCAGCACAGUAAGAGCUUGCUCUUACGGGUGGCGAGUGGCGGACGGGUGAGGAAUACAUCGGAAUCUACUUUUUCGUGGGGGAUAACGUAGGGAAACUUACGCUAAUACCGCAUACGACCUACGGGUGAAAGUAGGGGAUCUUCGGACCUUGCGCGAAUGAAUGAGCCGAUGUCGGAUUAGCUAGUUGGCGGGGUAAAGGCCCACCAAGGCGACGAUCCGUAGCUGGUCUGAGAGGAUGAUCAGCCACACUGGAACUGAGACACGGUCCAGACUCCUACGGGAGGCAGCAGUGGGGAAUAUUGGACAAUGGGCGCAAGCCUGAUCCAGCCAUACCGCGUCGGUGAAGAAGGCCUUCGGGUUGUAAAGCCCUUUUGUUGGGAAAGAAAAGCAGCAGGUUAAUACCCCGCUGUUCUGACGGUACCCAAAGAAUAAGCACCGGCUAACUUCGUG
rnacentral:rRNA from 1 species